GCGGGUGUAGCUCAGGGGUAGAGCACAACCUUGCCAAGGUUGGGGUCGAGGGUUCGAAUCCCUUCUCCCGCU
rnacentral:tRNA from 1 species